UUCGAGAAGAGUAACACCUCCACCUCCCAGCCCGGGAACUCUACGGAGUAUACUUUGACCCCGUUUGUCCCGCCCGCGCAGUCGCAGCUCGGAACUGCUGCCUUCCGUAAGGUCCCGGGGCCAUCGAAGCGGCCAUUUUGUGUAAGACUAAUUUGUGAACUUCUACGAGGCCAGGGAAAAAAGGGGGAGAAAAGGAAACCUAUUUAUAUUGAUAUGAGAAGGAACGAGAACGUUAACUACAGAGUCCUGAAGAGAAUAGUUUUAAUUUUCAAUACGUUCUGGCGCUCUGGAGACGGCACGACUUAGUGUGUACAACGUGGUUACGUCAUCACGGACCGCGAGAGGAGGUGGACCACGUGACCGGACCCAUUAGCGCGGCGGGGCCAGUAAUACAGCUGCACCUGUAGACGUCACGAUUUAGCGUGUACGACGUGGUGACGUCACUACGGACCAGGAGAGGAGGACGGGUUGCACGUGACCCGGACCCGCGUCGCGGCUCGGGUAGUAAGCGUAGUAAUAUAUGGGUAUCUCCGUGGGCCCAGCGGUUGCGGCCCCGCAACCCACUCCAGUAUUCUUGCCUGGAAAACCCCGUGCACAGAGGAGCUUGACGGGCUGUAAUAGUUCAUGGGGUUGCAAAGAGUCGGACAUGACUGAGCGACUCUCUUUUUUCCCCCCUGCCCUCCGUACACCGCGGAAGCACUUCCCGUGGAGUCCUCACCGACCAUUCUGGGAAUUUAGUUGUCACCCAGGUUUGGAGUCGGUUUAAGUGAGCCUGUAGACCAUAGAUAUCGACUUAGCGACUGAACAACAUCGACCGUAGAAAAUGUGAGCCAAGCUUUCCUGGGGAUGCGUUCUGCUCCUGUUAACAGCUCCCGUUAUCUCGCUUCCUAAGACCCUUAAGAAACCCUCUUUUCAGAUUAUUAUAGCUUUUGGCAGCCCGUCGAAAACAUAAACAAUAACCUCUGAGAAGUCAAAUAGCCCGCAUUCGGCUUUAUAAUGUCGUCCGAGGUAGAGAUUAGAAUCUGCAAGUCAAAGGAGGAAAAGGAGUAUAAAAAGCAGGCGGACCAUUAUGGUCAAGAAUGUGAAGGGCAGUACAAAAACAAAUGACAGGUAUGCACAACGUGCACGAAUUUCAAACCUGAUGUUAAAGGAAAAGAAGCCAGGAGGAAGUCCUAUCGUUUGGUUCCUUUUAAACGAAGUCUAAAACUGCGAGACAUUAAAAAUCGUAUUAGUUUUUCCUUAAGCAGGAGAGACAAUGACAGAAAGGAACCACGAGGGGGCUUUUGCGGUUCAAACAGUAUUUUGUUUUCUUGCUGUGGAUGCCGGUUACAGAUGGGUUCACUUUGUAGAAAUUUCACUCUACUGUGAUUUGCGUUUUCUUUUGUAUGUUCUAGUGAGCUGUAGCCCGCCAGGCUCCCCGACCGUGGAAUUCUCCACGCGAGAAUACUGGAGUAGAUUGCUAUUCCUUUCUCCGGGGAUCUUCCCGGCCCAGGGAUGGAACCCCAGGAUCUCCUGCAUUGCAGGCAGAUUCUUUACUGUUUGAUCCACUAGGGAAGCGAUAUAGUUAACUAAAAGGUAUAUUUAAGUAGGCCCAGGAGGGAAUUUUCCCUGGAUGAUAGAAACACUGAUACAUGCCAUUGUCAGAAUUCAUAGAACUCCUAAGAUCUGUGGGUUUGUUGGUUUUUGUUUUUUUUUUUUUAGUUAUAUCUCGUUUGUUUGUUUGUUUUUUAAUGCGUCUAGGGAAUUCCCUAAUGCCCAAUAGUUAGGACUUGUCUUUAACUGCUGGGCCUGGGUUCAAUCCCUGGUCGGGGAACUAAGAUCCUACAAGCCCUGCAGCACAGCCGAAACAAAAAAGUCUAACUGGAAACCAGGAAUUCUUUAGGUACUUAAUUAACUAGGAAUAAAUAUCCAAUUUCACUGUGUGAGAAAUUGACCUAACCCAGUGAUUUUUAAAUUUGCUCGAUUAUGCACCUGGGGCAAAUUCUCCCACCAGAUAGCCUAAGGUCACAGUUUUAAAUACCACCAGUUACCAGUGACUCAGACAUUACUGCUCAGUUCCACCACUCCUCGGAGCUCCAGGCUCUGCCUCUGCUUGGAUGUCUGAUAAGCACGUCAAAUUCAGCUUGUCUGAAAACCAAAACAACCGAAAAACAACAACAUACCUCUGGAUUUCUCAUCCUCACACCCCAGAUCAGCUUUUCCAGUUAUUCUCCAGCUCUGUGAAUGGUCACCUCAUUCUCUUUGUGGCUCAGGCCAAGGAGUCAUACUUGAGCCUUCAAUUUCAGUCCUACAUCCCAUCCUCUGCCAAGUCUUGGUGGCUUUAUCUUCAAAGUAUGUUGAAAAUAAAACCACUUCUUAACAACCUCCACUGCUACCACCCAAGGCCAAGGUGUUAGUACUUUGGACUGUUAGCCACUUAGCUGGUUUCUUUGCUUACCCACUGUGCCUUUACAGUUAGUUUUCCAGAGUAGCCAAGGUAAUCUUUUCAAAUGAAUAAAGUCCAAACUCCUUACACAACCUAGACUGUUCUGCAUGAUCUUAAAUCUCACUGUUGAGUUCCUUUAUCUCUGGGAACUCAUCUCUCACCAGCUCCCCUCUCCCUG